rnacentral:miRNA from 1 species
AGCAAUUAUUGGAUGAGGCUGCAAGCAUGAUAUCAAGAAUUAUUCAGACCGAGGUCAAUGUUAUGAUAACAUUGACCUCGGUCUGAAUAAUUCUUGAUAUCAUGCUUGCAGCCUCAUCCAAUAAUUGC